CUAUUAUCAGUGGUUGGUGCCAUUUCUACUCUAAAAUUUUGAAUCUUGGUAUAGCUUGACAUGGAAGUUCUAUCUAUGUAGGCAUUUCUCUUCCCUUUUCCUAUAAUAAUAAUAACUUAUUGUUGAUCAUGUAUCUGCUAAAGUGAUGACAUAUCAAUUCUUGGUGGCCUUUUUUUGUAGGAAAUUUUCUUGUGAGCAAGGAACCCCCCCAUCGUCCAAUUCUGCUUGACUUUGGCCUUACUAAGUUGAUAUCAAGCUCUAUGAAACAUGCACUAGCAAAAAUGUUUUUGGCAUGUGCUGAGGUAAGUACCAAAUAAAAAUUUCAAUGAAUGACGUUCUACCUAUGUUGAGCUAUACUAUUACUUGAUCAUACCUAUGUGUAGUGAACCAAUAAAUACCGAUUGGUACAUACUAGUUCAACUGGUAUUUAAAAUUUUGUUUAUAUAUACAUCUAAGAUAUGUUUACACUUAGGUAUAUAUGCAUAAAUCUAUUUUGUCCAUUUGGAUGUUAUGCAGUUGCAGUUAAAAAUGCCCUAUAGAACUAGAUUUACUGCAUUUUUCAGCUGCUACUACCUUGUAGGAUUUUUAAAGAUGCAUUAUUGAAGAUGUUAAAAGUUCAAAUAUGCACUACUAUACUUUUGUCAUCAUAUGUCUGUUAACAGGAAAGUAACAGUCUCUAUCUAUUCUUUAAAAUAAUCUUUAUUACAGCAUAAAAGGUUCUAUGGCAGGGGGACCAUGUAGCUUUAUUGGCAGCCUUCACGGAGAUGGGACUUAAAUUGCGCCUUGACAUGCCCGACCAGGCUAUGGACAUUGCAUCAGUAUUUUUUCGCAAUUCCACACCAGCAAGUGAAGCACUUGUGAGUUUAAUUGCUGUCUGCUUCAAGAUUGAUGGUUUAUAUUUUUCUUUUCAUUUUGGAAGAUUCAAGUGAGAUUCAUAGAUCAAGUAAAUAAUCCCAUGCAUUCUUCUAUGAAGGAAAAUGUGAAAUCUUUGGCUGAUCAAAGAGAGAAGAAUAUGAAGUUUAUUCAAGAAAAGAUGAAGUUGAACAAAAAGGAAGUUCAGCAUUUUAACCCUGUAAGUUCAGUACUUUUUCCAAAGAGCUAUUUAUAAGUUCUUUUUGAUAAUUUAUUUCAUGGAAGCUAACAGGAAUAAGUCGUAUGCUUUACAUAUAUAUAAUCUCGUGUAUGCAUAAAUCUAUGUAUCUAUGUAUAUGAAUUUUAUUUUCAUAUGUAUACUCCUAGUAGUUAUUUAGGGAUUUAUAUACUACACAAAUUAUACAUGCCGACAUAUGUAUGCAUUUAGGCAAGCUUGAAUUCUUUGUGAAAUUAGGCAAAAUUCCCUUUAAAGAAAUCGAGAGACCAUAUUCAUGUUGCAAAAUUGAAACUUUGCCUUCUCCAGGUUGAUGCUUUCCCAGGUGAUGCAGUUAUAUUUAUAAGGGUAGUAAAUCUUCUUCGAGGUCUGUUUGGACUCAUCUCUCUCUUAGAUAUUAUAUGUGAAUGCAUUACAGAUGAAAACGAUGCUUUUUCAGGGCUUUCUUCUACACUUGAUGUUCGUAUUGUUUAUUUGGACAUCAUGAAACCAUUUGCUGAGUCAACACUACUAGGGUGAGUAUCUCGGUUGCAUGCUGUCACUGUUAAACUCCAUUUCAUUUUCUUAUCUUAGGAUUGUCAUAUUAUAUAUCUUGUUUCUUUCUCUAAUUCCCAACUUUAUGUGAAAUUAUGGGCAUCAGAAGCAUCAGGACUGAGCCAGCGUUGGAUACCCAAUGGAUUUAUGAUUCACCAAUUCACUCUGAUGUGGAGGCCAAGUUGAGGCAACUCCUGGUUGAGCUGGGAAAUGAGAAAAUACUUGGGAUACAAGUAGGUUUAGUGUACUUUAUUAAUCUGCUUCUUCUUGACUAAAAAAUAAAAAAAAUGUUAUUUUCUUUUCUCCCUUCUGAUUGGCUUACAUAAAUGUAACUUUAGAGGUUUAAUGGGUUGGAAUUCCUUCAGCUAACGGCAGUGAUAACAAUUCUUUUUCAUUUGACACAUUCAUUUCUCUUGCUAUCUGAUAUUCUUUCUUAGUACCCUUUGAAGAUGUGAUUUCUAUUUUCUAUGACUUACUUGUUAAAGAUUAAGCCUUGGAUUAUCAGAAGUUCUAAUAAUUGUUGGAUAUUUGCUUGUUUCAGCAAUCAAGCCUCUUUUUCUUAAAUUUUCUUGACAGUUUUAGAAUGGCAAACUUUCAUGUCCUAUGUCUCUAGGAACUUUCAUUGUACAUUGAACAUUAGUAAUUGACAAUCAUGAACAUUGAGAUGACCCUGAGUACUGAAUCAGAAAAAGAAUUCUUUAUAUUGGAAGAAACUGAAAGUAAAAAAACAUUAAAAUCAUCCCAACACAAUCUAAUCCAUGUAUCAUGAUUGUUUAAUUUGGACAUAAUUUUGAUGGAUGGAGCAGACCUUUGAUCAAAUAGUUUGAUUUGGAAAACUCAGUUUGUUUGAAAGAAGAAUCAAGGUAACUGAUAACAAGAAGAUGCUAAUAACCAUUCUCACCUGUUGGAUUAAGUGUUUUUUCACAGAAGAGGAGCAGAUGGUAUUGACAUUCGAAUUAUGGUGGCAAUGGCAUGGCUAUGAUGGAUGUUAAGUAUCUUAAUGAGUUUGUUAUGUGAAUUAAGAUGUGAUAGCAUAGAUGGAUAGAUUGUAAAUAAGGUAGAAGAUUCAUUGAGAUAUGAAACAUAUCAUUAGGAGUUGUUGGAUAAUUAUUCUUUCGAGGAAUAAGGCACAUGUGGAAGAUUGCCAGGUAUAGAUGGCUGGAGAAAAUGGUAGUUGUUUGGGUCUACAACUUCUUCAAAUGUUUCAUGUUUAGAUGAAACAUUUUGAUGGUUUGAACUUUGAAGUUGCUUGUUGGUUGUUUAUAAGUAAAAUAUAAUGCUCAAUAAGUUCUCAAUUUUCGCAAGUCUGUGUAAAUAAUGUGCAUUCUUGAACAUGAUUUACAAAUAUGAAAAGUAUAAAUACUGAAUGGCUAGUUCAUAAACUAUGCAGCAAGCGUGCAAGCAAUAAAAUUGUUACGUAUAUGAAGGUUUUCUUACUAUCUAGGGACUUGACUAGACAUGUUUUUGGAUUAUAGACUAAGUUCUUGAGAUAUUCUAUCAGUCUAUCUAUCAUGCAAUCUGUUGUUUUACUCUUAAUAGAUUGCUUUAGAAACUGGGGAACUCUAUAAAAAUUUGGUGAUACAAGAUUGUCUCCAGGCAACGAUACACAGAUAUAAUUUCAUGAUCGGUUCAGCUUAAUGAUUUCUUUUAUAUCCUUUGUUCUGCUGCAGAAGAUCUCUGAUGUCUAGUAAUCCAAGUCAUCUUUGUUUCAUUUACUUACCUGAAACACAAUGUCUGACAUCUUCAGGUGUGUGCAUACAAAGAUGGAAAGGUCUUAAUAGAUACUGCUGCUGGCAUGCUUGGGAGAUAUGAUCCUCGACCUGUUCAACCUGACACCUUAUUUCCUGUCUUCUCAGUAACAAAAGGAAUCACUGCUGGGAUGUUACAUUGGCUUGUGGAUAAGGGGUAUGACAUUAUCAUAUAUUUUACUUUCAGUACUGAAUGGUAUCUAGGAUUCUAGUGUAGUUUUGUUAGAAACUGUAAUAGAUAUUUUAAUGGUGAUUGCGUUGAUAAUAUGGUGGGAUUUCAAGAAAGGACAUUUGUUGCAUAUUGCUCAAGUGGUCAUUCAAAACUAAGUGACAACAUCAAACCAAAUAUUUUAUCUAAAGUUAUCUUCUGUGACCUAGUGCAAUGCUAGACCAAAUCAAUAUAGAUCUUUGUCAACCUAACUUGCACAAAUUUGCUAUCAACUAUACUUCAUGAUCUACUUUAUGUUCCAACUAUACCUGCUUGCUUACAUUUCUUUCUGCUAGCAUCAAGUCAGAACAUUUUUCAUAGGAUAGGAUCCAUAAUGGGUCCAGUGCUACUCUUUAUUUUAGCUAAUUCUAUAAGCUGGAUUUGAUUCCUUGACUACCACUUAUGGAGUCAUGUCCUGAGUAAUUUCAGGUCCAUUUACUUUUUGGCACCACAUUUUUAGCCUAUGAACGGGAGUUGGGGAAUUUCAUGUCCUGUGCGUGCGCGCGCACAUACAGACACACACACACAUAAAAUGAUGAAAUUGUAGAUUAUCAUUUCUACUAGUCUUUGUACAUGAUCUUAUUGAAGUCUAAGCAUCCCUUUGUUUGAUGUAGGACAUAGCCUAUUACACUUUAGAAUCGUGGAAAUGCUUUGUUAAGCAUGAAAAAAUUAAUUAUGGUGACAGCCUUCUGAAAGACAUUUUUGUUUGUAGACACAUGAUCCUAUGCAACAUUUAUGGAGCUUGGCAUUUGGCAUGUGCCAUCACUAUCCUCAAUGUAAAAAUCCAAAUGAUGUUCUAGUUAUGGAAGCUUUAAUGAGAAUCAAUUUUUUUUUUGCAGGAAAUUCAAGCUUGAUGAAACCAUAGCAAAUAUUUGGCCAGAGUUUAGUGCCAGCAAAAAAGAUAUGAUAAAGGUGAAGGGCACAUUAGAUUCCUGAAAAUGAUUUUUGUGAGCUAAAAAAUAUGUUGUUAUCUCGAUUUGUCAUUUACUUCCUUUCCUUUUUUUAGGUUCAUCAUGUUCUUAACCACUCAUCUGGUUUGCACAACGCUAUGUCUGAUGUAAUGAGGACCAAUCCUUUGCUACUUUGUGACUGGGAGGAAUCUCUACACCGUAUUGCUCAGUCAGCUCCUGAGACAGAACCAGGUUCCCAACAACUAUACCACUACUUGUCUUUUGGUUGGCUAUGUGGUGGUGUAAUAGAGGUAUUUUACCACAUAUUACUUUACUGAAACAAGUAUCUACUGUUAAUCUUUGGUUAUUACAAAAUUAGCAAAAUUUAUGUUGCCACAUUUGAUAUAGCUGAAGGUUGAGUACUGUUUUUCACCGAAAAUAAAAGUUCAUCUUGUAUUAUGUAAUGUGCAAAAGGUAUUAUUAUGAAAGAAAAAUAAAAUGUUGGUACCAAGACUUCAGGCUGGUAUCAUACCAACUUGUACCAGUGUACUGAGUGUUAGUAUGGCAAUACAUAUUAAACUUUGGAAAGAGCUUGAAAAAAUGAAAAAACAAAAAAGAAUACCUAGUACAGGGUCUGUAUCGUCCUAUACCAAGCAGUUCAGGACUUGUAUCGUCCUGUACCAGUUACGAGGUGAUACAUGUCCUAUACAGGGUGUACUAGAUGCUAGAGGUCUUGUAUUGGAUGAUACAGACCUUCUAUCAGACAUAGGGUUUCAUGUCCCUAGUCUGCAUAACUGAAAGCUACCACUUCUACCAUAUUGUACCAAACAGUACUGCAAACCUUGGUUGGUACACUACAAUAGCUUGAGAGUCUUGACCAGAUAUUGGCAUAUUUUUCUUUGUGUUUCUUUUAUUGUUUACCUGAAGUUUUAAUCUUGUUUUGUAUUAAAUAUUGAAAUAAUGAAUAUCUUUUGAAACAGCAUGCAUCUGGAAAGAAAUUUCAAGAAGUACUGGAAGAAGCUUUUAUUCACCCUCUCAAUAUUGAAGGUGAACUAUAUAUUGGCAUUCCUCCUGGUAUGUACAAAUUUUCCUUUAUUCUUUUUGGUUGAAAUAGGUCGUCUAAUAAUUGACAAGUUUGGUGGCACAGGUAGACCUUGACAAUAUGUAAAAGGAAUAAUUGAUGAAAUAUGCAACUCUCGGACAUUAGUGCUUGGGUACAGUAGAUAGAGAUUAUUGUAAAAACAAGUGAUGCCCAGUGGCUUCACUUGUAGUUACAAUUAUGAGAAAUGACCACAACAUAAUCUUCAGUUUGCAUGAUAAAGAAAUAGUUAAUCCAAUAAACUACAGAUGGUCCAUGUUGAAGCACAUUGGUGCCAGUUAUUUAUGUUCACUUAUCAACAAACCUGUCUCAAUUCUAAUAAUUUUUUACAAGGUUCGCAAUAUCGUACCGUACCGGUAUUUCGACCUGGGCUCAGUACCGGUACAGUACGGUAUACCGAGCGGUACACCCAGGUGUACCGAGUACUGUAGUAAUGCUACAGUGAUACAGUAACUGCUACAGUGCUACAGUGCCUCGGACCGGCAAUAGUCGGUCCACGUACCGAAAACCUGUCGGACCGGUAUGUACCGCCCGUACCGGGCGGUACUGCUCGGUACGGCAGACCCUGAUUUUUUAUACCUAUACACAAUGCCUAUUACAUAACCUAUUUGAGUCUAAUAUGUGCAUAUACAGAUUUUUUUCAAGCUUCCCAUGUAUUUUGUGGAUGAACAUGUUUUAAUUGAUUGUGUUGUCAAGUCAUAUUAAAAGGUUUGACUGUUUCGAGAUUAUCUUUAACAUGAAAUGUAUGAUUUUAAAAUAACUUAUUGUUCAUCUUCAUAGUGUAGGACAUAUAUGGAAAGAUUUAAUAGAAUUUUCGCAUUCAUUGCUGGAACUCAUAAUCUAAGGGAAGGGAAUAAACGUGACAAAUCUUCUAGAAAAUUGGUAUUGAAGCAACAAUAACUUUGAAGAUAAUUGGAGAGGAAGGAGAUUAGAGAAGAGGAAGAAGAUGCCCGGAGUUAAGUCACAUGUGAUUUUGGGCAUAUGUGAGUUAACUUCACUUGUAUUUUCAAGAAGUUCAAUACACCAUCAAUAUCAUAAAAAUAAAUUGGUAACUAUCUUUAUUUAUACUUAAUAGAGGCUAUUCUACAUUAGAUUUAAAAAAUAAAAUCAGUAGCCAAUGGCUAUGUAUUAUCUAAAGGCAGAAUGCCUGUGUUUAGAUAUUAGUUAAUGAAAACAAUCAGCCAAGUUUUUCCUCAAUUUCUUUUGGUUUCCAUCGGAUUUUGAGAAGCAAAAAUUAUCUAGUGCUUGAAACCUUAAAAUCCUCACCUUAAAAAAUUUUGUAAUUGGGAUCUAAUUGUCUGCUUCUAUUGAAUAAGAAUAUGUAAUUGGUGCAGGACCAGUCCGUAUGAAGUCCUCCAUAUAAAACCCUUCACAAAUGACUAGUAGGUUGCAUCUCUUUCAUUAUCUUCCCUUGAGAAUCUUUCCUAUUAUGUGGACGACAUUAUUCAUAUUUUUAGUGUCGGUUUAAAUCUAGGCCUGAUACCAGUUUUGACAUGGGACCAGUAUGGUACUGGUAUACUUGGAAGUUUAUUGACCUGCACCUCUAUUACUAAAGAUAAUAAAAAGAUAAAUACCAAUUGGUACCGAAACAUAGGAUAAAUACCAAUCGGUAUCGAAACAUAGUCUGCCAGCAGUCCUUGGUCAGGCCAAUAAACGCUGGAUGAUACAUACCUGUACAGCCAACAUUUGAAGCCUUAUCUGUUAUAUUCCUUCUAGAGUCUACACAUUCAGAUCCUAUAGACAACUCAAAUAAGAAUCUGUAAAUAUUUGAUCUCCUAAAGAUCUUCUAAUCUUUAUGAAGAUCUUAACAGCCUGAUGCUUGAUAAGUUUAUGUUGAAAUUGACAUCUUAUAAAAUAUUGCUUUGUUGUAUUUUUAUCAUCUAAAAUUUUCCAUAUUCCUGUUUUGUCUCUUGUUUAUAUAAUUAUUUGCCUAAAGAGUAAAUAUCCAUGUCCAUUUGUUUGAAACUUCACUAAAUUUUGGAUUUCGUUCCAGGUGUAGAGUCUCGGUUGGCAGCACUCACACUGGACACAGAAGAUCUACAAAAUCUCCUUGAAAUCAAUGGCAGGCCGGAAAUGCCAUCCAGCUUGCAGGAGGGUAAUUUAGCUGAGAUCGCAUCUGGCGUUCCUGUGCUCUUUAACACACUAAACAUCCGGCGAGCCGUGAUUCCUGCUGCCAAUGGGCAUUGCUCGGCUCGUGCCUUGGCACGCUAUUAUGCUGCCCUUGCUAAUGGUGGAUCCACUCCUCCACCUCAUUCACUUGUUUCCAAGCCUCCCCUCGGAAGUCAUGUACAUGUUCCAACAUUUCCUUCCUUCAAGCAACCCAAGAAGAAAUUGAGAAUCAAGGAGAUAGAUAAUCCAGAUACACCGACCAAGAAGACCGAUGGCUUACGUCGCAGGGGUUGUAGCAAUAGCAAUAGUCCAAAAAAUAACAAGGCUUAUAACAUUGUAGACAACAACAUCGACAAUGAUGCACAGAAAAGUGUCCAAAGAAUAUUUAGCAGCCCCAAGAUCCAUGAUGCUUUCAUGGGUGUGGGUGAUUACUCCGACAUGGUUAUUGCAGACGGUAAAUUUGGGCUCGGGUUUAGGAGAUUUAAUACUGCAGCUGGUAAUCCAACGAGUUUUGGCCACUCUGGAGUAGGCGGAUCCACUGGAUUCUGUAAUAUUGAGCACAAUUUCUCAAUUGCAGUCACAGUAAACAAGAUGUCACUUGGUGGUGUUACAAGAAGUAUAAUUCAGCUGGUUUGCUCUGAGCUGAACAUUCCUGUGCCCGAAGAAUUCUCGAGGUUCGGGGAGAAGGGACCCGACAUGCAGUUCAAUCUGGGUCUGUAGCCGCAGCUUGUCACUAACAAGCCUCUCCAGUUUAUAUACACAGGUUUUUCCCUUUAGGAUACUAUCCUUCCUCACAGUGAAACACAAAAUAUAGAUCCACAAUUUAUUUUCCUUUUAACUUUGAUGUUAUUGUAAACACCAUAUUUGAUAUUAAUGCAUAAUUUAUAUUACCAUCAGAAGAAUAGAGGAUCAAGUGACUUGUGUUAUCCUCAAUCAAAAGAUCUAGAGUCUUUUUGAUGCAUGAAAGAUCUACAGUGUCUAAUGGCCUCCUUCAUAUCAGCCUUGGCAUUGAUGUCAUGAGGCUUUUAUGUUAAAUAUUUGCAGAUUGUGUGAAAUCAACAUGCUUCCAACAGAUUCUCACGAGGGACUAUAUUUUGUUUCAGCUUUUUAUCCCUGCUUAAUUUUAUAGGCUCAUUUCAAUUUGCAAGCAGAAUCUAGAGAAUGAUCUUUCGACCCUUACCGAACUGUAUCUUUGUAGGAAACUUUGGUAUUUACAUCAGUUCAGCUUUUACUUUCCAAUAAGUAUUUGACAAUUACUGUUCUGACCCAUGUAAAUUGCUUAAAGGCAGAUUUCAACAUGCAGUAGCAAACACAUUAAUAUGGUUUAAUAAACCAGUAAUGAAAUCCCACACGAGCAUUCAUCCCGUCGCGCAAAACAAAGCUGCUCUCAGCAUCUCUCUCACCUUGGCGCUCAAGCCAUGAACUGUGAUGAGGAAUCGACCAAAAGGAAUCCUAUCCUGCUUUGCUUGUGGCCGCCGUGCUGAGGUCGAUCCCAGAAAGCAGCACCUUGGUGCUCAAGGCACAAGGUCAGCUUUUGAGGAUUCCUGACGGUACCGUCCAUCGACGAACGGAGAAGGCAUCCUUCUUUGCUUCGGUGGUGGUUCCGCCGUAACCUCUUCCUUCCUCCACGAGCAAUGCCUUCUAAUAUGCUACGGCUGCGCCUCCCUCCACACCUCGUCAGCUGCAGCCCAUCGAUCCAUGAAUGUAUACGUCUCACCAUCGAUUUGAGUCGAUGUAGAAGUGCAGACAUCAGCGGAUCAUCUGUUUGCUUCCGCACCUUCUCCGUCUUCCGGAGUUCCUAAUGGGAUGGGUGACUCUCUACAAGCGGCGGCUCAAAGUAUUCACCACGGCAUUGCUGAUCUACCUGGACUACAAGGUGCUCUGUGCCGCCGGAUUCGUUCUUGUUUCCCAUCUAUUGAUUAGCGUCAGAAAUCAAUGGGGUUUUCUACUACUGUAGGCCGUGCAGAUGAUAGAUAACUGGUAUAGCGGUAGCAGAAGGGAUGAUCUUUGGGAAGGAACACAUGAGCGGAAUGCUAAGCGUGUUCUCGAUUUGAUGAUCCAGUUGGAAGGUCUGUGGGUAAAGCUUGGUCAAUACCUGUCCACCCGAGCCGACGCUCUGCCAGACGCUUAUGUGCGUCUUCUCAAACGGCUGCAGGACUCUCUUCCUCGUCGGCCACUGGAAGAGGUAACUGAAUGCUUCCAUCAAUAACUAUGCAGUCUUUGAGUUAUCUUGAACAUGAAAGAUAACUCAGGUGUUAAGUGGAUGCAAUACUAUGAGUUUAUGCCCUCUUUUUAUUGCUUCGAAUUGACUUCUUCAUUGUCAUCAUCAUCAAUCAUCCUCAUAAUGCACCACGAAAAUGCCAAGAUGCAUGACUACAAUGUGCAAUAUGCAUCUGAAAAAUGCUUCUGCAAAUAUACGAAACAAUACAUCAAAUUACAAUGCGUAAUAUGCAUUUCAUGGGAAGUUUAGAUGAGCAUAUUAGUAAUAGUUUCUACGAUGUUGAUAAGUCUGCUGCUUGGUCCCAGGUUCGCCAAACUAUAGAGAAGGAGCUGGGGAAACCUAUGAAUGAUAUCUUCUCUCAUUUUGUUGAGGAACCCCUUGCUACUGCAUCUGUAAGAUCAUUAUAAUAUACUGGUCCAUUUACAUGCUUAUACAUUGUAAGUUCAUUCUGGAAAAAUGAAUCUCAGAAUUUCCUUAAGAAUAGAGAAAUGCUUGCAGGUGGCACAAGUUCACCGUGCAACUCUGAGAGAUGGGCAGGAUGUGGUUGUUAAAGUUCAACAUGCGGGCAUCAAGGAAGUCAUCUUAGAGGUCUGCAAUUUGAGUCUUGACAAGAUGGCAAUUAAGUUGAUUAGAAGUCUUCACAUUAACAAAAGCCAAUUUCAGGACUUGAAGAAUGCCAAAUCAAUAACGGACUGGAUAGCAUGGGCAGAGCCACAAUAUGACUUCAAUCCAAUGAUAGAUGAAUGGUGCAAGGAGGCACCUAAAGAACUUGAUUUCAAUCAUGAAGCCGGUUGGUCUGAUAAGUUCAGUACCUUCAUUAUCAAUCCUUCAUCUGUCAAUACCUUGACAUGUUAAGCUGCAUCAUCUUUUGUCUGUAGAAAACACAAGAAGAGUUUCCGAAAACCUGCGACUCAAAAAUGAGCUCGAUGGCAUGAAUAGAGUAGAUGUGCUGAUCCCAGAAAUUAUUCAGGUGGAACUACACAGUUAUAGUUCUUACUUCAGCCACUCUCACCUGUAAAGAGAUGCCUUACAAUGUGUGCUUCUAUAAUUCCUGAUGGCAGUCAUCCGAGAUGGUCCUUCUGCUGCAAUACAUGGAUGGGAUUCGAUUGAAUGAUAAUGUUUCUCUGGAAGCAUAUGAGGUGGACAAGCAAAAGCUUGUUGAAGAGAUCACACGUGCAUAUGCUCAUCAAAUCUAUGUUGAUGGGUUCUUCAAUGGUGAUCCACAUCCAGGUGUGCUUGCUUAUGCCCACCUUUCUCACCAUUCUUGGAUCUUGGCAAUGUUUGCUGUCUUGGGAGAAGAAAGAAGAAAAGCUUAUGGUUGAUCAUGUAUCAAUUCUUGGUGGCUAUUUCUUGCAGGAAAUUUUCUUGUGUGCAAGGAACACCCAAAUCGCCCUAUUCUGCUGGACUUUGGCCUCACCAAGUCAAUAUCAAGCUCUAUGAAACAGGCACUAGCAAAAAUGUUUCUGGCAUGUGCUGAGGUA
rnacentral:lncRNA from 1 species